rnacentral:misc_RNA from 1 species
UCCCUGUUACCAGGGCAGUCUGUUUAGAGAAAUACAACUAAACAAAGGGGUUGCGCUCGUUAAUGGACUUAACCAAACAUCUCACGACACGAGCUGACGACGGCCAUGCAUCACCUGUCACUGCGGCCCGAAGGCACUCUCGCCUUUCGGCAAGAUUAACAGGAUGUCAAGCCUGGGUAAGGUUCUUCGCUUACCAUCGAAUUAAACAACACGCUCCACCGCUUGUGCGGGUCCCCGUCAAUUCCUUUAUGUUUUAAGCUUGCGCUCGUACUCCACAGGCGGGAUGCUUAACGCGUUAGCUUCGCUACUACCAGGGUCGAUACUGAUAACAGCUAGCAUCCAUCGUUUACGGCGUGGACUAC